CGUUCUGAAAAGAACGCUAAUACCGCAUGACAUAUCGGAGCUGCAUGGCUCUGGUAUCAAAGGAGCAAUCCGCUGAAAGAUGGACUCGCGUCCGAUUAGCCAGUUGGCGGGGUAAAGGCCCACCAAAGCGACGAUCGGUAGCCGGGUUGAGAGACUGAACGGCCACAUUGGGACUGAGACACGGCCCAGACUCCUACGGGAGGCAGCAGUGGGGGAUAUUGCACAAUGGGCGAAAGCCUGAUGCAGCAAUGCCGCGUGAGGGAAGACGGUCUUCGGAUUGUAAACCUCUGUCCUUGGUGAAGAUAAUGACGGUAGCCAAGGAGGAA
rnacentral:rRNA from 1 species